UGAUGAAAUUUUCCGAGUUAACCUUAUAGACCUCAGACCUUCUUUGUGUCUACCCUGUCAUAUUUUCAAACAUUCUUUGUGAGAUUGUUUUCCUCUUAUGCCAUUUUCACUGCAUUAUGCUUAGGAUUUUGUGAGGCGAGAGGCUUUGCAGAUGCUUAGAAAUGCUCUCGAGGGUUCAGGUGGCAAUGGCUCUUUACCUAAAUAUGCAGAAGCAUUUCGCAUAAUCACGGAAUGGGUGUUGGAGAUAAAUCAUUCAUUGUCAGGAAAGCUGCUGCAAGAUGUUUAAAAGCUUUAGCUAGUAUUGGAGGCCCAGGCCUAGGAGUUGGAGAGCUUGACAAUUCCGCCUCUUACUGUGUCAAGUUUUGUAGGGCAUACGGCUCAAGUAUAUGCAUCCAGCUAGCGAGCUCCAAAAUUAUCUUGUGUAGAUUAUGGGUAUGCUUCGUGUAGAAUCUGUUGUGGAUGCACAAUCAUUGUGCACAUCAUCAUUUGAUCAUCCUUCAAACAGAAUAAGUGGACAUCUUUUGUUCAUCAGACAUGUUUUUUUAUUUUUUUGGUUCAAGCACAUACAUCCUUGCAUAAGAAGAUGAACAACCACUAGCCUAUGUACCCUCAACAAUGGCAGCAAGACAAACACAAUUUUGGUGAAUACUUCAACACUUUGACAUUAUUCAGACCACAUUUUGUCAAUGAGGUACUCAAGAAACUAGAUCCCACUUUCAAGAAAAGAAAGAAAGGAGUCGUCUCUACGCUUGUAUUGCAUACUCUAUGCUGCUUUAUAGCAAUUGCAAUUCCAGUUUGAUAAAUAAUCAUACAAAUACACACUCCUUAUUUUAAUAAACCAAGAACAAAAAAUAUAUAAUGUUUACUUUAUUCAAUAACUUGUUUAUAUUUUCAAGCAACAUAGAGCAUUAUUUUUAGAUUUUUAAACAAUAGUGAUUUACAGUUCAUGAAAAAAAAAACAUUUAAAGUUAAUAACCAUAAGCUAAUUAAUUCUUACUUCUAGGAGACCUUCCAACUGUAUUCAAAUGUAUACGAAGUACUAAUCAUCAAUCAAAAUAAAAUAAAAAAAAAAAAAAAAAAGAACAAAAAAAUUACUGACGAUUUCCAAAAUAAUUUCAUUUUCCCAGCAAUAAAGUGAUCAAUAAUCUGCUUCUUUUUAACAGAGCAAGAAAGUUGUUUGCGAUCAAGAUAGCAGAGCAAAUGAACUCAAAUGUUCAUAAGGACAGAUAGCAGGGCUUGAACAUUCUAACAAGUUUAACAAGCAUUCUCAUUGACAACUACGAAGGUGGCAGUGCUGAAAAUCUUCCUGCAAUAUUACACUUUCAUGAUGAAGUCCACCACCAUUCAUCAAGAAAUCUUGCAAAAGCUUCAAGAUAGGAGACCAGUGUACAAAGGUUUCCCUUUAGAAUUUGAACUUUUAAUCACACUCGGGUCCUUACAUCCCUGGUUGAUAAAAAUGACUUCAUGUGCGAGCCAAUAUUUAGAAACGAAGAAUUGAAGGCCCUUGAAGGACUCAAAUCUGACCUUAGAAAAAAAGCUUUUUGCUGGUGUGAGUUCUAUAGCUACAAUCAUUUGCAUUUAUCAAACAAUUAGUGCACACAAAUAUGUAUUAAACAAAGGGAA